rnacentral:rRNA from 1 species
UACGUAGGUGGCAAGCGUUGUCCGGAUUUACUGGGCGUAAAGAGCGCGCAGGCGGCUGGUCAAGUCCGAUGUGAAAUCUCCCGGCUCAACUGGGAAACUGCAUCGGAAACUGAUCGGCUUGAAGGUGGGAGAGGGUAGUGGAAUUCCCGGUGUAGUGGUGAAAUGCGUAGAUAUCUGGAGGAAUACCGGUGGCGAAGGCGGCAUCCUGGACCGACAUUGACGCUGAGGAGCGAAAGCUAGGGGAGCAAACGGG